rnacentral:rRNA from 1 species
UAAGAAUCUUCCGCAAUGGGCGAAAGCCUGACGGAGCGAUGCCGCGUGAUCGAUGAAGGUCGAGAGAUUGUAAAGAUCUUUUCCACAUGAGGAAUAACCAUCGGAGGGAAUGCCGGUGGGAUGACGUUAGUGUGGGAAUAAGCCCCGGCUAAUUACGUGCCAGCAGCCGCGGUAACACGUAAGGGGCGAGCGUUGUUCGGAAUUAUUGGGCGUAAAGGGCACGCAGGCGGUUAUACAAGUCCGAUGUUAAAGACCUGGGCUCAACUCAGGGAAUGCGUUGGAAACUGUAUGACUAGAGUAUUAGAGGGGGAGUCGGAAUUCCUAGUGUAGGGGUGAAAUCUGUUGAUAUUAGGAAGAACACCGGUGGCGAAGGCGGACUCCUGGCUGAAUACUGACGCUGAGGUGCGAAAGCAUAGGGAGCAAAC